AUUUUAUUUUUCUUCCCUUGAUGCCAAAGCUUGGCUUUUUGCCUGCUAAGUAAGAAAUUUUUUUUUUGUGGAUUUUCAGGGUUCAUUCCUUCUUAUUGGCUACUCUUAUAGCAAUUCAGGUUUGCAUCAGUAUUUUAAAUUGCAUUGGAUCUUACACCCAUCUUAAUUUGAUUCUAUAAGUAGAUCUAUUCAAUUGGAACCAGAGUAAUGUGGCUCAUUGUCACUGCUGGCAUAUCAAGGAGCACGAGAAACAUUUUGAGGAAAAUCGAAGACAACUCAGGAUUAGGUCACUGAAAUCAGCGAUUAACCAAAGUUUUAUUUGAUUUAUAGUCUGUAAAUCACCAUAAAAAUCCUAAAUUUGAUUUGAAAAUUUGAUUUUCUGAGUAAAAUAAAACCCCAUAUCCCAGCUGAAAUUUCAACUCAUUUUUUCCUCAAUUUUCACUGCUGAAAUCGCCUGAAUAUAUCCUCAUUUGUAUGAUUUCUUUGCUCGAACGAAGCCACAAUCUAGGAAAUCAAUCAUAAAAAGUGGAAGAGAAAAGUACAUAUGGCAGAGAAAAUUUUGGGUUGGGUUAAUAAUAAAUUAGGUGAUUUCAAUUUAUCAUAGUGAAAUCGAACCCUUAUCACGAAUAAACACAAAUAUUUUUCUUUCAUGUCUAAAUUAAUGCCAAAGUUUGUGAUUAGAUCUCAAAAUAGAAUUUGUGAAUGGAUGCCUCUGUUUCAUAGUGCUAGAUGCAAAAUAAGUGAGCAGAAAAAAAAAAUACUCAAUAAAUCACUACAGAAAAUACUUAAAAAGGUAUAUGUGGGAAAGAAUAUUUUUUAGGACAUUGUGCAUUCGUUUGAAUGAGAUCAUUGCUAUCAAGCAUUUGGAUUUUGAGAAUACGAACAGUAAUUUGUUUAGCCUUUUUGCUUAAGUAUUGUUCAAUUUUUUUAAUGGAGUUAUUUCAUUGAUAAUUGAUCAUAGCGAGUGGAUCAUACACUAGAAUAGGUGUUAAGAGUGAAAUUAAGAAUUUUUGCAAGCUGAUAUGGUGUGCAUUAUAUUUAUUUUAAGCCUUUUUACAGCAUGUCUUUUUGUAAUUUGUACUAUAACUUAGAGAUCUUUUCCAGUUUGGGCUUUGAGAGGACAUUUUAUAGUUCUUCUCCAGAUUUCUUUCAUGGUUUUUCUGUUGCUUGUAAAUGUGUAAAUGGGUUUCAGUGGAAAUUUGUGUGUUGAAUUAUUAUCAUUAUUAUUAUUUGCAUGGGUACGAAUUAUUAUUUGCACUAUUUGUUGAAGACAACAAUCUUAACAGCUCUUGUGCUGAUUUGAUUUUUUCUGAAAACAAUUAGCUAUUCUUUACUUUCUAACUCUUGAUGAAUUUUAAUGAGUUGGGAAAUGGAUGUAGAAGACUUGGGUUUGUGGCAUGUAUUAUAGCAUUUGAUGAAGUGAAUUCACCUUGUUUUAUUGCAGGCUGCAAGAGCCUUUUUGUAAUUUCUGGUUUGUUAUGGCACAAUGGGUAAAUCUCUGGCCAAAUGGCUGAAAACAUUUCUUUUGGCAAAAAAACCUCCAGAUCGCAUGUUUCGAAAGGGUCUUUGUCAUGUAUUGUAAAUUCAAGGUGGAAUCUAAAAUGUCUUCUAAAUACUGCAUAUUUGUCGACAAAUUCAUGAAGAAGGAUGCAAUGUAAUUGUGCUUUUUGGGGUUCUUCACAAGGAUGCAGUGUUCAAGACACACCCCAUGAAUGUGUUCAUGAAAGGACUCUCAAAGGAAUAUUUUUUGGAAACUAUAAGCCACAUUCUGAUCUUCCACCCAUUGCCGACAAAUACAUGAAGAAGGUAUACGUCAUAUGGAGAAGUUCAUUACACAUUCAAUCUUAUUCUUAGAGAUCAAUAAGACUUUUGAAAACAUGCUCAAAGGGGAUGAUCUUUGCUGCAUUAUUUGAAUGGAAGAGUAAAAGAAGCAAAACAAAAUAAAUUACUUGGUGGUUGAGUCAGCUCAAUCGAGUUACCUUUUUGAAGCUUCAUUUGUAUAUGGCUUUUUCUUCUUUCAUGAGGUGUUUAACCUCUUUGUAUCUUUCCAGUGGUUUGUAAUUGAUUGUAAUUGGUCGUUGCUUAAUUAAUGGUAAUUUUUUGUGAAUGGAA